GACAGAGGAUGCAAGCGUUAUCCGGAAUGAUUGGGCGUAAAGCGUCUGUAGGUGGCUUUUUAAGUCCGCCGUCAAAUCCCAGGGCUCAACCCUGGACAGGCGGUGGAAACUACCAAGCUGGAGUACGGUAGGGGCAGAGGGAAUUUCCGGUGGAGCGGUGAAAUGCGUAGAGAUCCGGAGGAACACCGAAGGCGAAGGCAGUGUCCUGGCUGGUGACUGACGCUGAGGUGCGAAAGCUAGGGGAGCGAACGGG
rnacentral:rRNA from 1 species